rnacentral:rRNA from 1 species
AGCGAACGCUGGCGGCAGGCCUAACACAUGCAAGUCGAACGAACCUUUCGGGGUUAGUGGCGGACGGGUGAUUAACACGUGGGAACGUGCCUUUAGGUUCGGAAUAACUCAGGGAAACUUGUGCUAAUACCGAAUGGGCCCUUCGGGGGAAAGAUUUAUCGCCUUUAGAGCGGCCCGCGUCUGAUUAGCUAGUUGGUUGAGGUAAUGGCUCACCAAGGCGACGAUCAGUAGCUGGUCUGAGAGGAUGAUCAGCCACAUUGGGACUGAGACACGGCCCAAAAUCCUACGGGAGGCAGCAGUGGGGAAUCUUGCGCAAUGGGCGAAAGCCUGACGAAGCCAUGCCGCGUGAAUGAUGAAGGUCUUAGGAUUGUAAAAUUCUUUCACCGGGGACGAUAAUGACGGUACCCGGAGAAGAAGCCCCGGCUAACUUCGUG